rnacentral:rRNA from 1 species
UACGUAGGGUGCAAGCGUUAAUCGGAAUUACUGGGCGUAAAGCGUGCGCAGGCGGUUUUGUAAGACUGUCGUGAAAUCCCCGGGCUUAACCUGGGAAUGGCGAUGGUGACUGCAAGGCUAGAGUUUGGCAGAGGGGGGUAGAAUUCCACGUGUAGCAGUGAAAUGCGUAGAGAUGUGGAGGAACACCGAUGGCGAAGGCAGCCCCCUGGGAUAACACUGACGCUCAUGCACGAAAGCGUGGGGAGCAAACAGG